rnacentral:rRNA from 1 species
UACGUAGGUGGCAAGCGUUGUCCGGAUUUAUUGGGCGUAAAGCGAGCGCAGGUGGUCUUUUAAGUCUGAUGUGAAAGCCCUCGGCUCAACCGAGGAAGGUCAUUGGAAACUGGAGGACUUGAGUGCAGAAGAGGAGAGUGGAAUUCCAUGUGUAGCGGUGAAAUGCGUAGAUAUAUGGAGGAACACCAGUGGCGAAGGCGACUCUCUGGUCUGUAACUGACACUGAGGCUCGAAAGCGUGGGGAGCAAACAGG